GGGCAUGUAGCUCAAUUGGAUAGAGCACCGGUCUACGAAACCGGCGGUUGAAGGUUCGAGUCCUUCCAUGCCCG
rnacentral:tRNA from 2 species